UGGGAGGAAAGAGGUACUCCUCCAUGUCGUUCUGCACUCUUUGCUUCGGGAGGUCGCCGCGCGGAGACGACGAGGUGGAGUGGGAGCGGGAGAGGGAGAGGGAGAAGAAGCACACGAGAAGAGUGCGUCCAAGUGAUGAGGACCGAGGUCGAUGGAUCGGCGAGCCGGACGUAGACAAGAAGGCGUCCGACUUCAUCGCUAGAUUCUACGCGUCACGUUUCAUGGACUCCGAGCCUCGAGCAAUCGUGAGAAUAAAAUUUGCCAUAUUCGAUUUCUCC